rnacentral:rRNA from 1 species
AGAAUCAACGCUGGCGGCGUGCCUAACACAUGCAAGUCGAACGCGAAAGGGGAGCAAUCCCUGAUUAGAGUGGCAAACGGGUGAGUAACACGUGGGUGACCUGCCUUCGAGUGGGGGAUAACCUUCCGAAAGGAGGGCUAAUACCGCAUGACAUACCGUGUUUGGAUACACGGAUAUCAAAGCCGGGAUCGCAAGACCUGGCGCUUGGAGAGGGGCCCGCGUCCGAUUAGCUAGUUGGUGAGGUAACGGCUCACCAAGGCUCCGAUC